UACGUAGGGUGCGAGCGUUAAUCGGAAUUACUGGGCGUAAAGCGUGCGCAGGCGGUUCGUUAAGUUCGUUGUGAAAGCCCCGGGCUCAACCUGGGAACUGCAAUGGAAACUGGCGGGCUUGAGUGUGGCAGAGGGGGGUGGAAUUCCGCGUGUAGCAGUGAAAUGCGUAGAGAUGUGGAGGAACACCGAUGGCGAAGGCAGCCCCCUGGGCUGAGAUUGACGCUCAGGCACGAAAGCGUGGGGAGCAAACAGG
rnacentral:rRNA from 1 species